UACAGAGGUCUCAAGCGUUGUUCGGAUUCAUUGGGCGUAAAGGGUGCGUAGGCGGCGCGGUAAGUCGGGUGUGAAAUCUCGGAGCUUAACUCCGAAACUGCAUUCGAUACUGCCGUGCUUGAGGACUGGAGAGGAGACUGGAAUUUACGGUGUAGCGGUGAAAUGCGUAGAUAUCGUAAGGAAGACCAGUGGCGAAGGCGGGUCUCUGGACCGCAACUGACGCUGAGGCGCGAAAGCGUGGGGAGCAAACAGG
rnacentral:rRNA from 1 species